UACGUAGGGUGCAAGCGUUAAUCGGAAUUACUGGGCGUAAAGCGUGCGCAGGCGGUGAUGUAAGACAGGUGUGAAAUCCCCGGGCUUAACCUGGGAACUGCAUUUGUGACUGCAUCGCUGGAGUGCGGCAGAGGGGGAUGGAAUUCCGCGUGUAGCAGUGAAAUGCGUAGAGAUGUGGAGGAACACCGAUGGCGAAGGCAGCCUCCUGGGAUGACACUGACGCUCAUACACGAAAGCGUGGGGAGCAAACAGG
rnacentral:rRNA from 1 species